GGCUCGGUGGUGGAUGGUCCACGCCUGUAUGUUAUGCAAACCAAUCCAGAUGCCCAUCAAGCAGGAGAAGCCUGUUCGAAUCAGGCCCGAGCCU